rnacentral:rRNA from 1 species
GACGAACGCUGGCGGCGUGCUUAACACAUGCAAGUCGAACGGUGAUGCUCCAGCUUGCUGGAGUGGAUCAGUGGCGAACGGGUGAGUAACACGUGAGCAACCUGCCCCAGACUCUGGAAUAAGCGCUGGAAACGGCGUCUAAUACUGGAUACGAAACUGGCCCGCAUGGGCAUGGUUUGGAAAGUUUUUCGGUUUGGGAUGGGCUCGCGGCCUAUCAGCUUGUUGGUGGGGUAAUGGCUCACCAAGGCGACGACCGGUAGCCGGCCUGAGAGGGCGACCGGCCACACGGGAACUGGGACAGGGGCAAGACGCCUACGGGAGGCAGCAGGGGGGAAGAGUGGACAAGGGGCGCAAGCAGGACCCAGCGAGACCGCGUGGGUGACGAAGGCCGUCGGGUUGUAAAGACAGUCUGCGGGGAAAGAAAAGCAGCAGGUUAAUACCCCGCUGUUCUGACGGUACCCAAAGAAUAAGCACCGGCUAACUUCGUG